rnacentral:rRNA from 1 species
UACGUAGGGGGCAAGCGUUGUCCGGAAUCAUUGGGCGUAAAGCGCGCGUAGGCGGCUCGAUCAGUCUGCUGUGAAAGUCAAAGGCUCAACCUUUGAAUGCCGGUGGAUACUGUCGAGCUAGAGUCCGGAGGAGGCGAGUGGAAUUCCUGGUGUAGCGGUGGAAUGCGCAGAUAUCAGGAGGAACACCAACGGCGAAGGCAGCUCGCUGGGACGGUACUGACGCUAAGGCGCGAAAGCGUGGGGAGCGAACAGG